rnacentral:tRNA from 1 species
GGGGGUGUAGCUUAGGUAGUAGAGAGCACCUGCCUACCAAGCACAAGGUCCUGAGUUCAAUCCCCAGUAUCACCA